rnacentral:tRNA from 1 species
UCCCUGUUGGCUCAGAGGUUAAAGCAUCUGCCUGCAAUGUGGCAGACCUGGGUUCGAUCCCUGGGUUGGGAA